UAGGGAAUUUUCGGCAAUGGACGAAAGUCUGACCGAGCAACGCCGCGUGAGUGAAGAAGGCUUUCGGAUCGUAAAACUCUGUUGUUAGAGAAGAACAAGGACGUUAGUAACUGAACGUCCCCUGACGGUAUCUAACCAGAAAGCCACGGCUAACUACGUGCCAGCAGCCGCGGUAAUACGUAGGUGGCAAGCGUUGUCCGGAUUUAUUGGGCGUAAAGCGAGCGCAGGCGGUUUCUUAAGUCUGAUGUGAAAGCCCCCGGCUCAACCGGGGAGGGUCAUUGGAAACUGGGGGACUUGAGUGCAGAAGAGGGGAGUGGAAUUCCAUGUGUAGCGGUGAAAUGCGUAGAUAUAUGGAGGAACACCAGUGGCGAAGGCGGCUCUCUGGUCUGUAACUGACGCUGAGGCUCGAAAGCGUGGGGAGCGAACAGG
rnacentral:rRNA from 1 species